GACAGAGGCCUCGAGCGUUAGGCGGAAUCACUGGGCUUAAAGCGUGUGUAGGCGGGCCCGUAAGUGUCUUGUGAAAUCCCACGGCUCAACCGUGGAACUGCUGGGCAUACUGCGGGUCUUGGGGCCAACUAGGGGCAGCCGGAACAAGCGGUGGAGCGGUGAAAUGCGUAGAUAUCGACAGGAACGCCGGUGGCGAAAGCGGACCGCUGGCCCUCUUCUGACGCUGAGGCGCGAAAGCCAGGGGAGCGAACGGG
rnacentral:rRNA from 1 species